rnacentral:lncRNA from 1 species
GGGGCUCUGGAGGAAGGUGACCGUAGAUCCAGAUGUACAAUCUCCAGCAGGGACACAGCCAUCCUGAAAGCCCCCGGGUAUUCCCUCAUUCUCCCUCAGAGCAGUGGGAAGAGCACUGGAAAGGCAGCGAAACCCAGGGCGCCGAGUUCAGGAAUGUUUGUACUGGUCCCUUGCUUUCAUCCCUGUCACUAUCGGACUCAUUUCCAGUGCCCAGGUAUCCAUUCACACCAUGUAAACUGCUGUUUCAAGUUCUCUCAUUCAGGUACCCCCAUUUUUACCGUCAAUGGCUUUUUCCCCGUAAAGAAGCUAAGUUUGGCUUGACAUCUCUACAGGGCUCCUCUUCAUAGGCAACCAGGAGCUGAGAAGACCUCAUUCAUGCUGAGAUAGUCCUGUCUUCAAGAGAAAGAGGAAAGAAUAAAUAGAAUUGUAUGCAAUUCUGAGGAAAAUAGGGAGAAGAGAUCUUGCUGACCCACCCCUUCUCUUUCUUUCUGACCUGAAUGUGGAUAUGUGGUUUGCUUCUGUGGCUGCAAUCAGGUGACAUGAGGCACCAACCAUUGGACCAAGAAGACAACAGCCAAAGACAGAAGAGCAGAAAAAUAAAAGGAAAAGGCCUGUGUUUUGAUAACAUCAAUGAGCAGCAGUACCAGUGCCAAUAGUCACCUGUCUCCAGCCUUCUUGUGAAUGAGAUACUACAGGUCUGUAUUGCUUGAGCCAUUUCUAACUCCAGAAUAUAUUUAGAGUUUCAUACUGAAGUUGAACCACACAUCUUUCUUUGAACUUCCUAACAGGCAAAACAACUGCAUAAAAGAGAUACUCAAUUAGUUAUUAUUUGUCAUUGUCUUUGAGGAGAAAAUUGAUAGUUCUUCAAGAGAGGCACUGUUUCUUGUGAAACUUAGUUCUUUAAGAAAUGUCUUGGGUGGGGCAUCAUAGAGAGACACUGAGUUAUGGUGGAAACUGUAUUUAAAUCAUAUCCCCAAAUUAAAUGCAAAAUUAGUUUUCAUAUGGUUGUUUCUUGUAGGACCUUUUAAUGUAAACUGCAGAUAUAAUACCAAACCCUAACACAGUGAAAACAAUUAUGUAAGAGACUAUUU